AGAGCAUGGACAUGAGGGUCCCAACUCAGCUCCUCAGCCUCCUCCUGCUGUGGCUCCCAGGAGCCAGAUGUGAUAUCCAGAUGACCCAGUCUCCAUCCUCUCUGUCUGCUUCAGUGGGAGACAGAGUCAACAUCACUUGCCGAGCCAGUCAGAGCAUUGGCACUGAGUUAGACUGGUAUCAGCAGAAACCAGGGACAGCUCCUAAGCUCCUGAUCUAUCAUGUGUCCAAUUUGCACACCGGUGUCCCUUCGAGGUUCAGUGGCCAAGGAUCUGGGACAGAUUUCACUCUCACCAUCAGCAACCUGCAGCCUGAAGAUUAUGCAAUUUAUUACUGUCAACAGGAUUAUAGUACCCCUCCCACAGUGUCAUAA